GGUUAAGCGACUAAGCGUACACGGUGGAUGCCCUGGCAGUCAGAGGCGAUGAAGGACGUGCUAAUCUGCGAAAAGCGUCGGUAAGGUGAUAUGAACCGUUAUAGCCGGCGAUGUCCGAAUGGGGAAACCCAGUGCAAUUCGUUGCACUAUCGUUAACUGAAUACAUAGGUUAACGAGGCGAACCGGGGGAACUGAAACAUCUAAGUACCCCGAGGAAAAGAAAUCAACCGAGAUUCCCCCAGUAGCGGCGAGCGAACGGGGAGCAGCCCGGAGUCUGAAUCAGCUUGUGUGUUAGUGGAAGCGUCUGGAAAGUCGCAGGGUACAGGGUGAUACUCCCGUACACUAAAACACACAGGUUGUGAACUCGAAGAGUAGGGCGGGACACGUGGUAUCCUGUCUGAAUAUGGGGGGACCAUCCUCCAAGGCUAAAUACUCCUGACUGACCGAUAGUGAACCAGUACCGUGAGGGAAAGGCGAAAAGAACCCCGGCGAGGGGAGUGAAAAAGAACCUGAAACCGUGUACGUACAAGCAGUAGGAGCCCACUAGUUGGGUGACUGCGUACCUUUUGUAUAAUGGGUCAGCGACUUAUAUUCUGUAGCAAGGUUAACCGUAUAGGGGAGCCGCAGGGAAACCGAGUCUUAACUGGGCGUUAAGUUGCAGGGUAUAGACCCGAAACCCGGUGAUCUAGCCAUGGGCAGGUUGAAGGUUGGGUAACACUAACUGGAGGACCGAACCGACUAAUGUUGAAAAAUUAGCGGAUGACUUGUGGCUGGGGGUGAAAGGCCAAUCAAACCGGGAGAUAGCUGGUUCUCCCCGAAAGCUAUUUAGGUAGCGCCUCGUGAACUCAUCUUCGGGGGUAGAGCACUGUUUCGGCUAGGGGGUCAUCCCGACUUACCAACCCGAUGCAAACUACGAAUACCGAAGAAUGUUAUCACGGGAGACACACGGCGGGUGCUAACGUCCGUCGUGAAGAGGGAAACAACCCAGACCGCCAGCUAAGGUCCCAAAGUCAUGGUUAAGUGGGAAACGAUGUGGGAAGGCCCAGACAGCCAGGAUGUUGGCUUAGAAGCAGCCAUCAUUUAAAGAAAGCGUAAUAGCUCACUGGUCGAGUCGGCCUGCGCGGAAGAUGUAACGGGGCUAAACCAUGCACCGAAGCUGCGGCAGCGACGCUUAUGCGUUGUUGGGUAGGGGAGCGUUCUGUAAGCCGUUGAAGGUGGCCUGUGAGGGUUGCUGGAGGUAUCAGAAGUGCGAAUGCUGACAUAAGUAACGAUAAUGCGGGUGAAAAACCCGCACGCCGGAAGACCAAGGGUUCCUGUCCAACGUUAAUCGGGGCAGGGUGAGUCGACCCCUAAGGCGAGGCCGAAAGGCGUAGUCGAUGGGAAACAGGUUAAUAUUCCUGUACUUGGUGUUACUGCGAAGGGGGGACGGAGAAGGCUAUGUUGGCCGGGCGACGGUUGUCCCGGUUUAAGCAUGUAGGCGGAUGUUCCAGGUAAAUCCGGAACGUUACUAACGCUGAGGUGUGAUGACGAGGCACUACGGUGCUGAAGUGACAAAUGCCCUGCUUCCAGGAAAAGCCUCUAAGCAUCAGGUAACAUCAAAUCGUACCCCAAACCGACACAGGUGGUCAGGUAGAGAAUACCAAGGCGCUUGAGAGAACUCGGGUGAAGGAACUAGGCAAAAUGGUGCCGUAACUUCGGGAGAAGGCACGCUGAUGGUAGGUGAAGUGACUUGCUCAUGGAGCUGAAAUCAGUCGAAGAUACCAGCUGGCUGCAACUGUUUAUUAAAAACACAGCACUGUGCAAACACGAAAGUGGACGUAUACGGUGUGACGCCUGCCCGGUGCCGGAAGGUUAAUUGAUGGGGUUAUCCUCGCGGAGAAGCUCUUGAUCGAAGCCCCGGUAAACGGCGGCCGUAACUAUAACGGUCCUAAGGUAGCGAAAUUCCUUGUCGGGUAAGUUCCGACCUGCACGAAUGGCGUAAUGAUGGCCAGGCUGUCUCCACCCGAGACUCAGUGAAAUUGAACUCGCUGUGAAGAUGCAGUGUACCCGCGGCAAGACGGAAAGACCCCGUGAACCUUUACUAUAGCUUGACACUGAACACUGGUCCUUGAUGUGUAGGAUAGGUGGGAGGCUUUGAAGUGUGGACGCCAGUCUGCAUGGAGCCAUCCUUGAAAUACCACCCUUUAAUGGCUGGUGUUCUAACGUGGGCCCGUGAUCCGGGUUGCGGACAGUGUCUGGUGGGUAGUUUGACUGGGGCGGUCUCCUCCUAAAGAGUAACGGAGGAGCACGAAGGUCAGCUAAUCCUGGUCGGACAUCAGGAGGUUAGUGCAAUGGCAUAAGCUGGCUUGACUGCGAGCGUGACGGCGCGAGCAGGUGCGAAAGCAGGUCAUAGUGAUCCGGUGGUUCUGAAUGGAAGGGCCAUCGCUCAACGGAUAAAAGGUACUCCGGGGAUAACAGGCUGAUACCGCCCAAGAGUUCAUAUCGACGGCGGUGUUUGGCACCUCGAUGUCGGCUCAUCACAUCCUGGGGCUGAAGUAGGUCCCAAGGGUAUGGCUGUUCGCCAUUUAAAGUGGUACGCGAGCUGGGUUUAGAACGUCGUGAGACAGUUCGGUCCCUAUCUGCCGUGGGCGCUGGAGAAUUGAGGGGGGCUGCUCCUAGUACGAGAGGACCGGAGUGGACGCAUCACUGGUGUUCGGGUUGUCAUGCCAAUGGCAUUGCCCGGUAGCUAAAUGCGGAAGAGAUAAGUGCUGAAAGCAUCUAAGCACGAAACUUGCCCCGAGAUGAGUUCUCCCUGACUCCUUGAGAGUCCUGAAGGAACGUUGAAGACGACGACGUUGAUAGGCCGGGUGUGUAAGCGCAGCGAUGCGUUGAGCUAACCGGUACUAAUGAACCGUGAGGCUUAACCUU
rnacentral:rRNA from 1 species